GUGCCUUUCACUAUCUGCCAUGAUUGUGAGGCCUCCCCAGCCACGUGGAACUGUAUUUUCCCCAAAGGAUCUGAAGCAGUGGACAAGAUGAGAGGGUGGCACAAGAAUCUGGAAGACGCCUGUGGUUCCUAGAAAACAGAGGAAGG